rnacentral:siRNA from 1 species
GAAGCCCAUUACAAACAUAAGCC